rnacentral:tRNA from 1 species
AAAGAACUAGUUAAACAAUAACAUAGAUUUGUCGAGUCUAGAUUACCAAAAGGUGUUCUUUU